UACGGGGGGAGCAAGCGUUGUUCGGAUUUACUGGGCGUAAAGGGCGCGUAGGCGGCGUGUUAAGUCAGUUGUGAAAUCUCCAAGCUUAACUUGGAACGGUCAACUGAUACUGAUGUGCUAGAGUGCAGAAGGGGCAACCGGAAUUCUUGGUGUAGCGGUGAAAUGCGUAGAUAUCAAGAGGAACACCUGCGGCGAAGGCGGGUUGCUGGGCUGAUACUGACGCUGAGGCGCGAAAGCCAGGUGGGACGCAAACGGGAUUAGAACCUAC
rnacentral:rRNA from 1 species